rnacentral:rRNA from 1 species
AGAGUUUGAUCCUGGCUCAGAACGAACGCUGGCGGCAGGCCUAACACAUGCAAGUCGAGCGCUGCAGCAAUGCAGAGCGGCGCACGGGUGAGUAACACGUGGGAACGUGCCCUUUGGUUCGGAAUAACUCAGGGAAACUUGAGCUAAUACCGGAUGAGCCCUAACGGGGAAAGAUUUAUCGCCGAAGGAGCGGCCCGCGUCGGAUUAGCUAGUUGGUGGGGUAAUGGCCCACCAAGGCAACGAUCCGUAGCUGGUUUGAGAGAACGACCAGCCACACUGGGACUGGGACACGGCCCAGACUCCUACGGGAGGCAGCAGUGGGGAAUCUUGGACAAUGGGGGAAACCCUGAUCCAGCCAUGCCGCGUGAGUGAUGAAGGCCCUAGGGUUGUAAAACUCUUUCGGCGGGGACGAUAAUGACGGUACCCGCAGAAGAAGCUCCGGCUAACUUCGUGCCAGCAGCCGCGGUAAUACGAAGGGGGCUAGCGUUGUUCGGAAUUACUGGGCGUAAAGCGCGCGCAGGCGGUUCUUCAAGUCAGAGGUGAAAGCCCAGGGCUCAACCCUGGAAUGGCCUUUGAGACUAGGGAACUAGGGUACGGGAGAGGUGAGUGGAAUUCCGAGUGUAGAGGUGAAAUUCGUAGAUGUUCGGAAGAACACCAGUGGCGAAGGCGGCUCACUGGCCCGUUACCGACGCUCAGGCGCGACAGCGUGGGGAGCAAACAGGAUUAGAUACCCCCGUAGUCC